CAGGCUCAGGAGGUGGUGGAGGAGGAGGUUCUUUGAUCACCUGGAAGAGCAGCACAAAUAUAACAUGUUCAUAAGAGUGCAGCAGAGAGGCCAGAACCACCACAUGAGCAGCAGGGCCAGUAGGAGAAACAACACCAGCAAGGGUGGAAAAACAAUUCUGCGAAAUCCUAGUGACCUCUGGUGACCCGUUUGCAGUGAGUUCCUAAAAACAUAUGGAUGAAAGGCACGCUUUUGGCAACCCCCACCCCAAGCCGCCCACUUGUACUGUACUGACAGAACCAGGUGAGUGUGAAAGAGGUCUGGCAGAUGGAAAACAGGCCGCACAACUGAUAA